rnacentral:lncRNA from 1 species
AAAGCUAAAUUAUAAGGUAAAUUAAUAACUAAGAUCCAACUAAGCCACAUUUUGAGGAGUCUGAGCAAAAAGAAGAAAUACCUUAUGUGACCCUGAGGCUUUAGUGGCAUUGAAGAAGGCCCUUGUUUUAUAGAUUCACAAAAGGCAUUAGUGGAAUAGGACAGAGGAAGUGGGGCCUGACAGAGUGUUUCCAGAUUUCCUGCCACCUUUCACACUGGAAGCAAGAGAGCAGCUAACAUUAUUCAGAAAACACUGUCAUUCUCUUCCCUCCACAUCCUCACUUCUCCUUCUUCACUCACUGACGUUUUGACUGAUUAUUCUGAAAGUAAAACAUAACACAUACCUGCACAUGUGCACAUAUGUGCACACAGAGCAACUAUCUAGCAUCCGUCUACUGCUUAUCAUUUAUCCAUAUUUAUAUCUAUGAACACAUACUAUAUAUAAUACAUUAUAUAUGUAUUGUAUAUGCAUAUAAGCAUGUAUAUUCUUUAUUCUGUGUCAUGUUUACA